GGGGGGGGGCGUCUUACACAUGCAGUCGAACGAUGAACCGCUUUCGGGCGGGGAUUAGUGGCGAACGGGUGAGUAACACGUGGGCAAUCUGCCCUGCACUCUGGGACAAGCCCUGGAAACGGGGUCUAAUACCGGAUAUGACUGUCCAUCGCAUGGUGGAUGGUGUAAAGCUCCGGCGGUGCAGGAUGAGCCCGCGGCCUAUCAGCUUGUUGGUGAGGUAGUGGCUCACCAAGGCGACGACGGGUAGCCGGCCUGAGAGGGCGACCGGCCACACUGGGACUGAGACACGGCCCAGACUCCUACGGGAGGCAGCAGUGGGGAAUAUUGCACAAUGGGCGAAAGCCUGAUGCAGCGACGCCGCGUGAGGGAUGACGGCCUUCGGGUUGUAAACCUCUUUCAGCAGGGAAGAAGCGAAAGUGACGGUACCUGCAGAAGAAGCGCCGGCUAACUACGUGCCAGCAGCCGCGGUAAUACGUAGGGCGCAAGCGUUGUCCGGAAUUAUUGGGCGUAAAGAGCUCGUAGGCGGCUUGUCACGUCGGUUGUGAAAGCCCGGGGCUUAACCCCGGGUCUGCAGUCGAUACGGGCAGGCUAGAGUUCGGUAGGGGAGAUCGGAAUUCCUGGUGUAGCGGUGAAAUGCGCAGAUAUCAGGAGGAACACCGGUGGCGAAGGCGGAUCUCUGGGCCGAUACUGACGCUGAGGA
rnacentral:rRNA from 1 species